GCUUACGGCCACACCGCCUGGUUCACGCCUGAUCUCGUUUGAUCUCGGAAGCUAAGAAAGGUUGGGCCUGGUUAGUACUUGGAUGGGAGACCGCCUGGGAAUACCAGGCGCUGUAAGCU
rnacentral:rRNA from 1 species